rnacentral:rRNA from 1 species
GACGAACGCUGGCGGCGUGCCUAAUACAUGCGAGUCGAACGCUGAAGAGAGGAGCUUACUCUUCUUGGAUGAGUUGCGAACGGGUGAGUAACGCGUAGGUAACCUGCCUUGUAGCGGGGGAUAACUAUUGGAAACGAUAGCUAAUACCGCAUAACAAUGGAUGACACAUGUCAUUUAUUUGAAAGGGGCAAUUGCUCCACUACAAGAUGGACCUGCGUUGUAUUAGCUAGUAGGUGAGGUAAUGGCUCACCUAGGCGACGAUACAUAGCCGACCUGAGAGGGUGAUCGGCCACACUGGGACUGAGACACGGCCCAGACUCCUACGGGAGGCAGCAGUAGGGAAUCUUCGGCAAUGGGGGCAACCCUGACCGAGCAACGCCGCGUGAGUGAAGAAGGUUUUCGGAUCGUAAAGCUCUGUUGUAAGUCAAGAACGGGUGUGAGAGUGGAAAGUUCACACUGUGACGGUAGCUUACCAGAAAGGGACGGCUAACUACGUG